CCUACGGGAGGCAGCAGUAGGGAAUAUUGCACAAUGGGGGAAACCCUGAAGCAGCAACGCCGCGUGGAGGAUGAAGGUUUUCGGAUUGUAAACCUCUUUUGUUAGAGAAGAUAAUGACGGUAUCUAACGAAUAAGCACCGGCUAACUACGUGCCAGCAGCCGCGGUAAUACGGAGGGUGCAAGCGUUAUUCGGAAUCACUGGGCGUAAAGAGCGCGUAGGCGGGAUAGCAAGUCAGAUGUGAAAUCCUAGGGCUUAACCAUAGGACUGCAUUUGAAACUGUAAUGCUGGAGUGUAGGAGAGGUAGGUGGAAUUCUUGGUGUAGAGGUAAAAUGCGUAGAGAUCAAGAGGAAUACUCAUUGCGAAGGCGGCCUGCUGGAACGUAACUGACGCUGAUGCGCGAAAGCGUGGGGAGCAAACAGGAUUAGAUACCCCAGUAGUC
rnacentral:rRNA from 1 species